UACGUAGGGUGCGAGCGUUGUCCGGAAUUAUUGGGCGUAAAGCGCUUGUAGGCGGUUUGUCGCGUCUGCCGUGAAAAUUCGAGGCUCAACCUCGAACUUGCGGUGGGUACGGGCAGACUAGAGUGUGGUAGGGGAGACUGGAAUUCCUGGUGUAGCGGUGAAAUGCGCAGAUAUCAGGAGGAACACCGAUGGCGAAGGCAGGUCUCUGGGCCGUAACUGACGCUGAGGAGCGAAAGCAUGGGGAGCGAACAGG
rnacentral:rRNA from 1 species